rnacentral:lncRNA from 1 species
ACGAAAAAAUUAUUAUAAAUUCAAGCGGUCCCCCAAAAUUUUCAGCCAAUGGCGCAUCCCUCCUACAGGAUCCCUAAUCUCUAGUAGAGCACUAUAGAGAUGAGUACUCUCAUCCGCCAUUUUUGCUCCUACAGAGAAGACACCAGUAUGAUUUUGUAUAGUAAACACGUUUGUUGACAUCAAGCGAGAUUGAAUUAUUUAUUGAUAAUUGUAUUAAAUUUCAUGAAAAAUAUUAUUUGAUAGUUGAUGUUAGUACUUAACCUUUCUAUUUUUAACAUUAAAAGAUAGAUUAAACUACAAAAUACUAUUCAGUGAUUGAUUUAUAAACAUGGAUAACUUCUCUAUUUGGAACGUUUCAGUAAUAAUUUGAUGAAAAGUAUGCCAGUAAAAAAGGAAGACAACAACAAAAGAUCAGUCGCUGCUAAAAGCAAAAUGGAGUAUGAAAGUGGAAUAAAAUCUGUUGACGAAGAGACCAUUAUGUCUUUGCUUGCUGAAAAUCUAUCUAUAUGAAAAUCUAUGAGGGCUCAAAUAGAGAGAAUAAAUGCAAUUUUAAAAGAAUAUAAAUCGUAUUUAGCAGCUUCAGAAUAUUUAAGCAAAUACAAUGUUUCAUAAUCAUGAACUUAAUUAAACAUGGUAAAAAUUGUAUAUAUUUAAAAAAAAAAAA